rnacentral:rRNA from 1 species
UGAGGAAUUUUGCGCAAUGGGAGCAAUCCUGACGCAGCAACGCCGCGUGGGUGAUGAAGGCCUUCGGGUCGUAAAGCCCUGUCAGGUGGGAAGAAUGUCCCGGGACUGAACAGGUUCCGGGAGUGACGGUACCACCAGAGGAAGCACCGGCUAACUCCGUGCCAGCAGCCGCGGUAAUACGGCGGGUGCAAGCGUAAUUCGGAAUUACUGGGCGUAAAGCGCGUGUAGGCGGUCCUGCAAGUCUGAUGUGAAAGCCCCGGGCUUAACCCGGGAAGUG